CCCUGCAGAGAGACUGCUGGAGCUCCAGGCUGUGGAAUCCAGCCAGGCUGAAGAUCCAACCAUCCCCCAGUUGCCUGCGCACCACUGCUGACAGAGGAGAGACAGCGAAAGACUGGAAACUACCAGCCCUGGAAGGCUGGCUUCACCAUCUGCCUGGUACAUGACUACUGGAUAUAUACUUGCCACUAUUCUGAACUGCCGCCUCAUCCAUCAGACAAGGUUCUACUCCAUGCACUAGGCUUGACUAACAGUGGAAUUUACUGAACAUCCCAAGAUGCCAGGAAGUAGAGUGAAGAAGAAAGCUAUAGCAACUCGAACAUCUGUCCCCUGUAUGCUGACAGAGCUGGUAAUCAAGAUCUCACUCUUUCCUUCACUAUCUAAAGUGCAAACAACAUA